CGUGAGGGCACCAUGGUCCUCCACCACAUGUUUCCCUCCCCUUUUAUCCCCAGCGCUGCAUCCUCCCAGAAACCCUAGCAUCUUCCCUCUCUCGCGCCGCCACCAUUCUCCUCUUCAUCUCCCUCGUUUUUCUUCUUCUCUGUGAACCAACGAACAACACCACCACCUCCCCACCAUGGCGCUGCCUCUACCGACGCUCCCUCAGUGAGCUGAGACCACCAGAAGAACGGCCUCGUCGUCCUCGUCUUCCCACUGCAAGGAAUUGAACCGGAGCCCUCUAAAUCGCCGGCGAAUUUGCUGAUUCCAUCUCCAAGUCCGGCGAGCAAAUCUUCAAUUCCGGCGACGCUGGUGAACCUUUGGUGUCGGCUCCGCCACUUCCUGUUUCCCCAAGUCAAGGCGCACCUUCGACGCCCUCUUCCCCGUCCUAGUUCGUCCUGCUCCGUCCUUCCCGUGAUGGACUGCAAGCUCCGCCAUGGAUCUUUUGCCUGAGCUCCGCGUCAGCUGGGUUCUUUUGGUCACGCAUCUCACUUCCGUACAACAAGUCAUCAGCAGAGUAGUGAUCCAGCAUCUACUGGGCCUCGGCCCAGGUUCCCGCCAGCUUCUUCAAUGCCGAGCGUGCGACAGGCCUCUACCCGCUGCUCAGCAUUUGCUUCUUCCCGGAUAGGAUCACGAAGUGGUGUGGUGAGAUACGACAAGUUCUCCGGAUGUUCCUCGGCAAGCUUUAACAGGCAAGCAUUUCCCCUAUACUCCUGUCCCUGCAGGAGUCGCUCACCUAUUUUAUUUUGCCUUCUCCCUUAUGCUAUCCUUGAGUUGCGUUCUUGUCACGUGUCCCUUCCACUUGUUACCUCAAGCAGCCUAUUUUGCCACCACCACUUCCUACAGCUAUUGUUUGGUUAUCGUGUCUGUACACCGUGUUACCGUUAUUGUUAUCUUAUCGGGUUAUAUGUUGGGAAGAAUCAUGGUUACUUUAGUUGUUGAUAAUUGGUUAGCGGAGGCAUCGGUGGGUCAGCUGAUCGUUUUGUGACGGCUCACUUGUGUUUCCUAAAUAUCUUAGGACCCGAGUUCCUGUUAUCUAUUCCGAGACUGAGCGCUCUAACCACACAUGGGUAUGCUUACCGGGUCUCCCCUCGACCACUGCCGGAAUCUACAACUUUGUCUAGUGGCCACAAUUAGUUUGAAUGUUUGUUUGUUUCUCCCGGGCGUGCAAGCAUGUUUCUUUGUGGUUAGAUGAUAUGAUGUUACUUUUGGGGAAGCCAUGUUGCCUUGUAACCCCGUUGUCUCUUGCACGUCCGUACAUGCGGCACGUAUUGUUAAGAGGCCAUCCUCUAGUGGGCUCCGAUCCUCUUAGUCGUUCUCGCAACAGCUAGGUCCGUAUCAGAGUUCCGAUCGGGCUCUGAAAUGGGUUAACUUAGUUAGGUGGUUUCCUGGACAUUGUUGUCGUGAAGGAGAGUGCGUGUCGUGAUAUCCACCUGUCGUAAGUGGGUUGAUCAUGCGUGUGGGCACAUUUGGGCACCCCUGCAGGGUUACAAUCUUAUCGAUAAGCCGCGUCCGCGGUUGUGGACGACUUGGAGCUGUAUGACUCGACCAUAGACAACUUACACAUGUUGUUUCAAUACUAAUAACUUGAGUAGUAAGUUAGCCCAACUCUAAUAAUAAAUGGUAAAAACUUGUCCACUGUUUGAGUGCCAUUGUAAGUACUUCCUUGCGAGGGGGGAACAUAUUGGUUGUGUUAUGUUUGCAAAGUAUAGAACUGUUAGUUGUGCGCUCUCUCACCUUCUCUGAUAGAAGAAUGUUGUAGAGUGUCUCUGUAGGUUUUUAGUGCUUGCGCGCUGCCGCUUAACCCCACCAUAUUGCCUAUGACGUUCCUCUUGCGUCCUCAAGUACAAAGGACGACUGGUUGAC